rnacentral:lncRNA from 1 species
GGGAAGAGAAUUAAAAUACAUUGUGCUGUUCAGGCGACAGCCAUUACAAAAGCCACAACUGUCCAUAAAUAUCCUGGGAGAAACAGAUUGUCUUCUCUCACAGUAAAUAAGAGAGAAAACCUUGUCAGGUUGGAGGAGUAAAGAAAAGAGGCUUCUCAGGCUCAUCUCCCUGUCUUUGGGUUGUGCUAUGAACUGUUGUACCAGGCAACCCAAAAAGGCACUUUCAGCAGUAAUUUAUUGUGUGUGUGUUGGAAGCUUAGCAUUUUUUCCAUCUUGCUUUUGCCUUUUUUCUCCACAUUCUAGUGUCGGGCAGGUGCCUGGGCGCAGAGCCACAGCCAGAUGCUGUUCCCCACCCCAAUCCCUAACCCCAGGGGUGCCGUGCUGCUGCCCUCACCCCUCGCUCAGGGGAGGGUAAAGUCUGUGUGGCACUAAGUCAGCCAGACACCUGCAGGCCAUCUCUUCAGCUCAGUGCUUUUCCUUUGUGCCUCCAUGCUUUACAGAAGAAAGCCAUGCUAAGUGCAUAAACGAACAACAGGAAAGCAGCUGUUCAUUUAUUUAUUUAUUUACUUAUUUUGGUAAAUAAUGCUUGCAAAAACAGCAGCUUGCCAACCAGCCGUGACCAUCAUGGUUUCCUUCCUUUCCUCGCAAGCAAGGCUGAAACCUUUCCUUUGUAAACCCCGCACAGGUUUGUACAUCUCUCCUUGACGCGAGCUGGGACAACCUGAGCCGCGACCAAAAGGGCCAUGAGGGAAGGGCAUGAGGGAAGGACAGCGGCUCGGCACGGCCCGGCACGGCUCCCAACACCUCCGGGAACUCUCUCCCGGCUGCCAAGCGGGGAAACCCCCGGUAUCCCCGCGGCCUCCGGGCCAGGAGGCGCCUGCCGGGGCCGCCAGGGGUCGCCGCAGCGGGGCGGCCGCUUCAAAGCGGGCGGGCGGCAGCAAAUGGCGCCCGCCCCCGCCCCACCCCGCUCCACCUCACGCCGGAGAAAAGCCCGGGAGCGGCGCUCGCCUCACGCACCGAGGAGGAGACCAUGCCUGGGGUGGCGGCGGUGGAGGAGGUGGUGGCGGCUCUGGUGGCGGUGCCCGGCCGCGGCUCCACGGGAUAGCGCCGCGCACCUCGCCACCCUUCCCGGCCGAGGCUGGAGCGGCGCGGCUUGUCUAACUCUACCUUGA